rnacentral:rRNA from 1 species
AGAACGAACGCUGGCGGCAGGCCUCAAACAUGCAAGUCUAGGGGGUGUAGCAAUACAUCACCGGCGGACGGGUGCGUAACACGUGGGAAUAUACCUUUUGGUUCGGAACAACGCAGGGAAACUUGCGCUAAUACCGAAUGUGCCCUUACGGGGAAAGAUUUAUCGCCAAAGGAUUAGCCCGCGUAGGAUUAGCUAGUUGGUGAGGUAAUGGCUCACCAAGGCUCCGAUCCUUAGCUGUUCUGAGAGGAAGAUCAGCCACACUGGGACUGAGACACGGCCCAGACUCCUACGGGAGGCAGCAGUUGGGAAUCUUGGACAAUGGGGGAAACCCUGAUCCAGCCAUGCCGCGUGAGUGAUGAAGGCCUUCGGGUUGUAAAACUCUUUCGACGGGGACGAGUAAUGACGGUACCCGUAGAAGAAGCUCCGGCUAACUUCGUGCCAGCAGCCGC